rnacentral:rRNA from 1 species
AACGAACGCUGGCGGCAGGCUUAACACAUGCAAGUCGAACGCGUGCAGCAAUGCACGAGUGGCGCACGGGGGAGUAACGAGUGGAUAUCUGCCUUUUGGUUCGGAAUAACCCCGGGAAACUGGGGCUAAUACCGGAUGGUUCCUACGGGAUAAAGAUUUAUCGCCAAAAGAUGAGUCCGCGUCCGAUUAGCUAGUUGGUGAGGUAAUGGCUCGCCAAGGCGACGAUCGGUAGCUGGUCUGAGAGGACGAUCAGCCACACUGGGACUGAGACACGGCCCAGACUCCUACGGGAGGCAGCAGUGGGGAAUAUUGGGCGAUGGAGGCAACCCUGAUCCAGCCAUGCCGCGUAAGUGAUGAAGGCCUUCGGGUUGUAAAGCUCUUUUGGCGGGGACGAUGAUGACGGUACCCGCAGAACAAGCCCCGGCUAACUUCGUG